AUUGAACGCUGGCGGCAUGCUUUACACAUGCAAGUCGAACGGUAACAGGGAGCUUGCUCCGCUGACGAGUGGCGAACGGGGGAGUAAUGCGUCGGAACGUGCCGAGUAGUGGGGGAUAACGCAUCGAAAGGUGUGCUACUACCGCAUACGAACUGAGGUUGAGAGGGGGGGACCUGCGGGCCUCACGCUAUUCGAGCGGCCCACGUCUGAUUAGCUAGUUGGUGAGGUAAAGGCUCACCAAGGCGACGAUCAGUAGCGGGUCUGAGAGGAUGAUCCGCCACACUGGGACUGAGACACGGCCCAGACUCCGACGGGAGGCAGCAGUGGGGAAUUUUGGACAAUGGGCGCAAGCCUGAUCCAGCCAUGCCGCGUGUCUGAAGAAGGCCUUCGGGUUGUAAAGGACUUUUGUCCGGGAGCAAAUGCUGGUGGCUAACAUCCACCGGAGCUGAGAGUACCGGAAGAAUAAGCACCGGCUAACUACGUGCCAGCAGCCGCGGUAACAC
rnacentral:rRNA from 1 species